UGCUUCUAGCUUUACAGGAGUUUUUAUUA
rnacentral:piRNA from 1 species